rnacentral:lncRNA from 1 species
UCCACGAUCAGUAUAGUAUCUAAUCUCUAUUUCCUUUUGCUCUUCCACCAUCAUAACAACCUGUUAAUUUUUCACCUGGAAUCACAAGAUCAUUAAUAGUGCAACAAAUCUUUGUAAAAUUGUUCUCCUUGUUUGUGACUGUUGUUCUUAAUUUCAUGCGUGAAGUACAACAUAUAUCACUGAACCUAAUUUAGACAGACAUAUAUUUUCAUUAUAGCUUUUGUACUAAAGAAAUUCUUCUUAUCCCAAGGUUGAAGAACAAAGAAACGAUACACAGAAAGACGUCAUUCUUAACUAGAAAAGGCGUUCAGCUUUGACUAAAAAUGAGUACCUGGAAAACUGGUACAAAAAUAAUAAGAAAGUCUUUUACAAUGUUAUCCGUCUCCCAGCCUUCAAGCUGCAAUAAAAGGCCACAUCAAGCAUCAGAUAUGCAGCGUUUCUAUAGCUAGAAUUACAAAGCACUUCUGGUAGACUGUAAAACCAGCUAACAUCAGCAUCAAAGCAUGCCUUAGAGGCCUUAAUUUAAACUCCCCUGCAGAACAACUAACCCACUCAUCAGUCACUGAGAAUUCAACACCAUGGUCUACUUUAUCUGCCCCUGCACUCAGUACCCCGAAUCGCAGCAGGUAGAUGCCCAUAUCCACAACAAAAGGGCUUGAAUAUGCCUCAACUAGUCGUGUUCAUUCACCAACAUCUACGUUAGCACUUGCUUCUAAUCAGUGGUCUCUCUACUUGCAAAAAAACACAAGCAUGUGCAUCAACUCCAGUUUAGUUGCCUCAUCUAAAUCAGACCUUAAAUAUUUCUCUCGAUCACCUCCAGAGAUGCCACAAAGAACAAUAUGCUAGUUCCGGCACAACUUGUGUUCCCACGUUGAAUUAUAGUUGCCAAAAUACAAUAUGCUAGUUCUGGCACAACUUGUGUCCUGAUCA